rnacentral:rRNA from 1 species
GAUGAACGCUGGCGGCGUGCCUAAUACAUGCAAGUCGAGCGAACGGACGAGAAGCUUGCUUCUCUGAUGUUAGCGGCGGACGGGUGAGUAACACGUGGAUAACCUACCUAUAAGACUGGGAUAACUUCGGGAAACCGUAGCUAAUACCGGAUAAUAUUUUGAACCGCAUGGUUCAAAAGUGAAAGACGGUCUUGCUGUCACUUAUAGAUGGAUCCGCGCUGCAUUAGCUAGUUGGUAAGGUAACGGCUUACCAAGGCAACGAUGCAUAGCCGACCUGAGAGGGUGAUCGGACACACGGGAACUGAGACACGGUCCAGACUCCUACGGGAGGCAGCAGUAGGGAAUCUUCCGCAAUGGGCGAAAGCCUGACGGAGCAACGCCGCGUGAGUGAUGAAGGUCUUCGGAUCGUAAAACUCUGUUAUUAGGGAAGAACAUAUGUGUAAGUAACUGUGAACAUCUUGACGGUACCUAAUCAGAAAGCCACGGCUAACUACGUG